rnacentral:snRNA from 1 species
CCCUGUCUACUAUCCAGC